rnacentral:lncRNA from 1 species
GGAGCUGUGUCAUUAAUGCGCGUUCUCGCGGCCAUGCUUGUUGCAAGCUUGGAAAAGAUAGUGUUGCGAAUAUGACACACAAGUGGAUACAGUUAACGCUAGGUGGCGUACGCUAACCGCCAUAUUGCUUGUUUUCUAUCUUAUGUGGGAGAAGUGCUUUUAGCCACCAGUCUACAGAUGGAUGAGGUGCUGAGGGCUACAGGGAACUGUACAGAAUGCAACCGUAAAGAGUUAUUAGCAUGAGAAUGGAGGCCGUGCUCACUGCCUCACGACGGAGCUCUCCGAGGAUGUGACGCUGUGACGG